rnacentral:rRNA from 1 species
UGGGAAGGCCCAGACAGCCAGGAUGUUGGCUUAGAAGCAGCCAUCAUUUAAAGAAAGCGUAAUAGCUCACUGGUCGAGUCGGCCUGCGCGGAAGAUGUAACGGGGCUAAACCAUGCACCGAAGCUGCGGCAGCGACACCGUGUGUUGUUGGGUAGGGGAGCGUUCUGUAAGCCUGUGAAGGUGUGCUGUGAGGCAUGCUGGAGGUAUCAGAAGUGCGAAUGCUGACAUAAGUAACGAUAAAGCGGGUGAAAAGCCCGCUCGCCGGAAGACCAAGGGUUCCUGUCCAACGUUAAUCGGGGCAGGGUGAGUCGACCCCUAAGGCGAGGCCGAAAGGCGUAGUCGAUGGGAAACGGGUUAAUAUUCCCGUACUUGGUGUUACUGCGAAGGGGGGACGGAGAAGGCUAUGUUGGCCGGGCGACGGUUGUCCCGGUUUAAGCGUGUAGGUAUGUGUUCCAGGUAAAUCCGGUUCACUUUAACACUGAGGCGUGACGACGAGGCACUACGGUGCUGAAGCAACAAAUGCCCUGCUUCCAGGAAAAGCCUCUAAGCAUCAGGUAACAUCAAAUCGUACCCCAAACCGACACAGGUGGUCAGGUAGAGAAUACCAAGGCGCUUGAGAGAACUCGGGUGAAGGAACUAGGCAAAAUGGUGCCGUAACUUCGGGAGAAGGCACGCUGACACGUAGGUGAAGUGAUUUACUCACGGAGCUGAAGUCAGCCGAAGAUACCAGCUGGCUGCAACUGUUUAUUAAAAACACAGCACUGUGCAAACACGAAAGUGGACGUAUACGGUGUGACGCCUGCCCGGUGCCGGAAGGUUAAUUGAUGGGGUCAGCGCAAGCGAAGCUCCUGAUCGAAGCCCCGGUAAACGGCGGCCGUAACUAUAACGGUCCUAAGGUAGCGAAAUUCCUUGUCGGGUAAGUUCCGACCUGCA